GGGGGCGGAUGGGUCCCGGUGGACCCCCCGGUCUUCAAAACCGGUGGCGUCACGCGCGGCGUGGCGCGGUGGGUUCGACUCCCAUGCGCUCCC
rnacentral:tRNA from 1 species